rnacentral:lncRNA from 7 species
GGAGGAGCCGCACCGAGCGCCGGGCCGAGCAGGGCCGUGCCGGGCCGGGUCCCUCCGAGAGCCGCGUUUGGCUGCGCUGGGGCCAGGACAUCCUCCUUGCUCCUGUGUGAUGGCCCAGCUGGACCUGGCAGCACUGAGGGGGUGCGAGGUUGGAAGCAUCAGUGCCGUUUUGGAGCUUGCGGCACCUUCCCUUUCCCUCCAGACCAAGUGUUCUCCCAGCACUGAGGUUUGGGCAUUUGGGGAUGGGGAUGGAAGUGUCCCUGCAGAGCUGUCCUCAUAGGCGCAGGUCUGUGUGCCUGGAGGCACUGUGCCCCAUGCCCAGCCCAGCUCCAUCCUUGAGCAUUUCCCAUGCUCUGCCAGGAGAAGGCUUUUUUUCCAAAGCCUGAUGCAUCUCAUUGGAGGAAGGUUUUUCCCUGCUUUCCUGCCCUUUCUCUUCCUUUGUCCUUUUUCUCCUUGUAGAGACUCCCUGAACACCGCCCUUUCUUCCUCUCCUUUGCUUCUGAAACCUUGGAUGCCUACGAGGGUAUCAGCAGUCUUCUGCCUCCUUUCUACAGCACUCAUUGCCAUCGCUGAAGGCAAACCUUGGAAAAUACAACACCAGCCCCACUCGCAUCAGCCCUUAGUUGGAGUAUCUCCAGGGGGGUCAGACAGAGGCCAGGUGCAAGGCGGGAGGCAGAAUUGCCCCCACAGCACUCCCCAGGAGUGCAAACACUACAGACCUUCAGUAGAUGCUAUUGAAGAUUUUUAUUUUAUUUUUUUUUCUUAUAGAAAUUGAAAAAACCCGGAGAGAGUGAAAGGAACAGGGCUGCUGCCAGGUGGGGCUGUGCAGGUGGAACACAGGGGCCGGGUUGGGCUGACGGCAUUGGGAUUUCCCUUGCUCAGGUGCUACACUGCCCUCACCAGUGGCAGCACCGCUGUGUGCAGGGACCACGUGCUGUCUCUGCCUAUCAGCGGCAUGGUGGCUUUUAAGCAGACCCCUGCAGCAGAUCUCCAGCAUGAAAAGGAGCUCCCUCUGCACUGCUGAGACCCGGGAGAGAGCAUAGAGGAGAAAGACGCUGGGGCCAGGCUGCUUGCUGGGACUGUGUGCUUCAUGUAGGGUAUGAGUCAAGCCACAGCCAAGCUCCAACUACAG